GACGUAGGUGGCGAACGUUAUCCGGAAUUAUUGGGCGUAAAGGGUGCGUAGGUGGCCUGACAAGUUAUCAGUGGCAAAUCGAGGCUCAACCUCGUGGAAACUGGUAAUACUGUCCAGCUUGAGUACAGGAGAGGUUAACGGAACUCUAUGUGGAGCGGUAAAAUGCACAGAUAUAUAGAAGAACAUCAAUAAAGGCGAAGGCAGUUAACUAUUCUGUUACUGACGCUGAGGCACGAAAGCGUGGGGAGCAAAACGG
rnacentral:rRNA from 1 species